rnacentral:rRNA from 1 species
UACGUAGGGCGCAAGCGUUGUCCGGAAUUAUUGGGCGUAAAGAGCUCGUAGGCGGCUUGUCACGUCGGGGUGUGAAAGCCCGGGGCUUAACCCCGGGUCUGCAUUCGAUACGGGCUGGCUAGAGUGUGGUAGGGGAGAUCGGAAUUCCUGGUGUAGCGGUGAAAUGCGCAGAUAUCAGGAGGAACACCGGUGGCGAAGGCGGCGUCCUGGACCAACACUGACACUGAUGAGCGAAAGCCAGGGGAGCAAACGGG